GACGAACGCUGGCGGCGUGCUUAACACAUGCAAGUCGAGCGAGGCCCCUCCUUCGGGAGGGUGUCCUAGCGGCGAACGGGUGAGUAACACGUGGGCAACCUGCCCUCAGCUCUGGGAUAACUCCGGGAAACCGGGGCUAAUACCGGAUACGACCUCCACGGGCAUCUGCGGAGGUGGAAAGUUUUUCGGCUGAGGAUGGGCCCGCGGCCUAUCAGCUAGUUGGUGGGGUAGUGGCCCACCAAGGCGACGACGGGUAGCCGGCCUGAGAGGGCGACCGGCCACACUGGGACGGAGACACGGCCCAGACUCCUACGGGAGGCAGCAGUGGGGAAUAUUGCGCAAUGGGCGAAAGCCUGACGCAGCGACGCCGCGUGAGGGACGAAGGCCUUCGGGUUGUAAACCUCUUUCAGCAGGGACGAAGCGAAAGUGACGGUACCUGCAGAAGAAGCACCGGCCAACUACGUG
rnacentral:rRNA from 1 species